rnacentral:rRNA from 1 species
GACGAACGCUGGCGGCGUGCUUAACACAUGCAAGUCGAACGGUGAAGCUCCAGCUUGCUGGAGUGGAUCAGUGGCGAACGGGUGAGUAACACGUGAGCAACCUGCCCCUGACUCUGGAAUAAGCGCUGGAAACGGCGUCUAAUACUGGAUACGAGAAGGGUCCGCAUGGGCACUUUCUGGAAAGUUUUUCGGUUGGGGAUGGGCUCGCGGCCUAUCAGCUUGUUGGUGAGGUAAUGGCUCACCAAGGCGACGACGGGUAGCCGGCCUGAGAGGGCGACGGGCCACACUGGGACUGAGACACGGCCCAGACUCCUACGGGAGGCAGCAGUGGGGAAUAUUGCACAAUGGGCGAAAGCCUGAUGCAGCGACGCCGCGUGAGGGAUGACGGCCUUCGGGUUGUAAACCUCUUUCAGCAGGGAAGAAGCGAAAGUGACGGUACCUGCAGAAGAAGCACCGGCUAACUACGUG